GACGAACGCUGGCGGCGUGCUUAACACAUGCAAGUCGAACGGAAAGCCCCUGCUUUUGUGGGGUGCUCGAGUCGCGAACGGGUGUGUAACACGUGAGUCACCUGCCCUUGACUUUGGGAUAACUUCAGGAAACUGGGGCUAAUACCGGAUACGAGCUCCUGCUGCAUGGUGGGUGUUGGAAAGUUUCGGCGGUUGGGGAUGGACUCGCGGCUUUUCAGCUUUUUGGUGGGGUAGUGGCUUACCAAGGCUUUGACGGGUAGCCGGCCUGAGAGGGUGACCGGCCACAUUGGGAAUGAGAUACGGCCCAGACUCCUACGGGAGGCAGCAGUGGGGAAUGUUGCACAAUGGGCGGAAGCCUGAGGCAGCAACGCCGCGUGCGGGAUGACGGCCUUCGGGUUGUAAACAGCUUUCGCCUGUGACGAAGCGUGAGUGAAGGUAAUGGGUAAAGAAGCACCGGCUAACUACGUG
rnacentral:rRNA from 1 species